rnacentral:rRNA from 1 species
GAGAAGCUUGCUUCUCUGAUGUUAGCGGCGGACGGGUGAGUAACACGUGGAUAACCUACCUAUAAGACUGGGAUAACUUCGGGAAACCGGAGCUAAUACCGGAUAAUAUUUUGAACCGCAUGGUUCAAAAGUGAAAGACGGUCUUGCUGUCACUUAUAGAUGGAUCCGCGCUGCAUUAGCUAGUUGGUAAGGUAACGGCUUACCAAGGCAACGAUGCAUAGCCGACCUGAGAGGGUGAUCGGCCACACUGGAACUGAGACACGGUCCAGACUCCUACGGGAGGCAGCAGUAGGGAAUCUUCCGCAAUGGGCGAAAGCCUGACGGAGCAACGCCGCGUGAGUGAUGAAGGUCUUCGGAUCGUAAAACUCUGUUAUUAGGGAAGAACAUAUGUGUAAGUAACUGUGCACAUCUUGACGGUACCUAAUCAGAAAGCCACGGCUAACUACGUGCCAGCAGCCGCGGUAAUACGUAGGUGGCAAGCGUUAUCCGGAAUUAUUGGGCGUAAAGCGCGCGUAGGCGGUUUUUUAAGUCUGAUGUGAAAGCCCACGGCUCAACCGUGGAGGGUCAUUGGAAACUGGAAAACUUGAGUGCAGAAGAGGAAAGUGGAAUUCCAUGUGUAGCGGUGAAAUGCGCAGAGAUAUGGAGGAACACCAGUGGCGAAGGCGACUUUCUGGUCUGUAACUGACGCUGAUGUGCGAAAGCGUGGGGAUCAAACAGGAUUAGAUACCCUGGUAGUCCACGCCGUAAACGAUGAGUGCUAAGUGUUAGGGGGUUUCCGCCCCUUAGUGCUGCAGCUAACGCAUUAAGCACUCCGCCUGGGGAGUACGACCGCAAGGUUGAAACUCAAAGGAAUUGACGGGGACCCGCACAAGCGGUGGAGCAUGUGGUUUAAUUCGAAGCAACGCGAAGAACCUUACCAAAUCUUGACAUCCUUUGACAACUCUAGAGAUAGAGCCUUCCCCUUCGGGGGACAAAGUGACAGGUGGUGCAUGGUUGUCGUCAGCUCGUGUCGUGAGAUGUUGGGUUAAGUCCCGCAACGAGCGCAACCCUUAAGCUUAGUUGCCAUCAUUAAGUUGGGCACUCUAAGUUGACUGCCGGUGACAAACCGGAGGAAGGUGGGGAUGACGUCAAAUCAUCAUGCCCCUUAUGAUUUGGGCUACACACGUGCUACAAUGGACAAUACAAAGGGCAGCGAAACCGCGAGGUCAAGCAAAUCCCAUAAAGUUGUUCUCAGUUCGGAUUGUAGUCUGCAACUCGACUACAUGAAGCUGGAAUCGCUAGUAAUCGUAGAUCAGCAUGCUACGGUGAAUACGUUCCCGGGUCUUGUACACACCGCCCGUCACACCACGAGAGUUUGUAACACCCGAAGCCGGUGGAGUAACCUUUUAGGAGCUAGCCGUCGAAGGUNGGACAAAUGAUUGGGGUGAAGUCGUAACAAGGUAGCCGUAUCGGAAGGUGCGGCUGGAUCACCUCCUUUCUA